GGGGAAUCUUGCACAAUGGGCGAAAGCCUGAUGCAGCGACGCCGCGUGCGGGACGAAGGCCUUCGGGUUGUAAACCGCUUUCAGCAGGGACGAGGCCGCAAGGUGACGGUACCUGCAGAAGAAGCCCCGGCUAGCUACGUGCCAGCAGCCGCGGUAAUACGUAGGGGGCGAGCGUUAUCCGGAUUCAUUGGGCGUAAAGCGCGCGUAGGCGGCCUGCUAGGUUGGGACUCAAAUCCGGGGGCUCAACCCCCGCCCGGUCCCGAUACCGACAGGCUUGAGUCUGGUAGGGGAAGGCGGAAUUCCAAGUGUAGCGGUGGAAUGCGCAGAUAUUUGGAAGAACACCGGUGGCGAAGGCGGCUCUCUGAUCUGUAACUGACGCUGAGGCUCGAAAGCGUGGGGAGCGAAC
rnacentral:rRNA from 1 species